CAAGGAUAAUGUGUGCGGCUAUGACCACAAACUUCUAAUUCUAGCAACAGAAUUAGCAGUCAACGGAGACAUUUUACUUUGUGGAAAAUAGAGAGAAGGAAGAGAUCGAUGAAGAAGAGGACAUCCAAAUGACCUUCAUUAACACAAUAGUUACAUUCAAAGUUUGCAUUGAGAUGUGAGUCCCUCAUUCAAUGGUUAUUUUGAGAGACUGAUCUCCAUGCCUCCUGAGAUGUCAAUGGCCAACCCUCCCUGGAACUCUGCCCCUGCUUUCAGACCAGACUGCAGCUGGAUCACCUGGAGGACAGGAGAUAGGGAGGAAAGAAAAACAUGAUGAGUGACUUGGUUAUGCUCUACUCACUGAUUAUAAGAUGCAUUUUAUUUGAAGCACAAGUAAACGAAAACUGUCAAAGCACUUAAGCACCAGCAUGAGACAAAAGCUUUGUCACAUUCUUGUACCAUUUGUGCAUCAUUUUACAGACUCAGGUUGACAACUAAAGUUAAAAACUAAAUUCAUUCACUAUUUCUAUCUGUGAACACAUACUGGAUGCAUGUGAAAAGGUAAACAAGCCCUUAAAUCCUCCAUGGAAAACAGUUUGUGGGUCAAUGCCUUUCAAAAUGGCUUGCAUGUAAUGUACAUGAGUCAUAGAUUUUAUAAAACAUGAAGCAGUCUCAGUGAUGUCACCCAUUCAACAUGCAAAAAGGCAAAGAGAUGGAGUUGAAGCAGGCCUUUCGCUUUCUGGUCAACAGCAGCCACAUGCCUGUCUGUCUGUCUGUCAACUUAGCUACGCCCCUAAUUAAAAAAACAUGUCUCAAACAAAAUCUAAAAAAUUAAUGAGUUACCAAAAAAAGCCCCCUUUUUCAACACGAGUGGGGUUGCCUUGGAUAUGUAGCUAGCAAUAUGAAGUGAAUAUUCAAGGAACUGCAGUUUCAGGCUUAAUGUAAGUACACUAAAUGUAGUACUUAAUAGCAGUGAACACACUUUCUGAAGUGGAAUUCCAUCACUGCGGUACAACUGUUGAUCUCUCUAUAUUGAUCGUCCAAUUGACGCUGCAUGUUCAAUUCUUACUAGAUGUCACUCCAGUUCAUAACCAAACUCAAUGUAGACCUAAAAUACUGAGAUAAUGAGAUUUGAAUACUUUAAUACAGUCUUGAAGUAGGACACAGAAGCAGCAGCUUACCUCAGAGUGAUCAGUCAGCAGGAUCAGUCCCUUCACUACAUUCAUGGGCUCCCCUGUCAUGGAGAACAUUUUGGACAUGAGGUCACUGUAACCCUUGAAGAAGGUGACGGGCCGAAGCUGGACAUCGAAAAGAAGAGCAGACAUCCCGGCAAAGGACUCCAGGUUCUCUUCUCCUUCAUCAGGUGUGGCAGCAAUCAGCGACUCCAGACCCUGAGCCUCAAUGGCAACCUGACAGAAGAGAAUAAAUGAAAUUCAUUUUAU